CCUGCUCUCUCGGCCUGCAACUUCUAACCUAUUCAUUGAAUACCUACCACAUACUAGAUCCUCUCAGAUGGCGGGGCAUGGUUCCUACCCUCAGGGACUUGACAAGGCAGCUGUAGAGAGAGGACUAUGUGCAGAUCUGCCUGUGGCUGAGGGUGACGACCACCACCGUGAGACCUGCCCGACGGCUCAGGGGUCAGCUUCACAGCCAUUCCCUGUGAAAUGGACGACUGUCAGGUUUGUGUCUGAGAGGUCAGGGACAUGUUUCCCAGGAGUUGCGACAAGAUGAGCUUAUAUAUUAGGUAUUUCAACAAAAUCAGGAGUGAUUCUGACAUGAUACAUCACAAAUGUCAAAGAAAAAAACCAUGCCUCUACUGCUGACCAUCGUGUCACCUGACUUGGAAAAUGACAUGAUGCCACAGUGCUGUGUCACCUCUCUCCUGAUGCACAGAGAUCAUCACGCAGAGAUCAUGUGUUAGGACUUCCCCUUCAUCCACAUCACCGGCUUUUUGAGGAAACAAUACUUCUCUGUGGAUCGUUCCAUCUCUUUAUCAGCCUCCUUCAUUGUCUCCCCACUACCUAAUCCUGCGCCUGGUGAGCACCCAGAAUUCAGAGACCCCCCUCACUCUUCUUUAGAUUUUGUUCAGCAUGGUGCAGUGUCUGACUUACAGUAGCAGCUUAAUGUAUAAAGUUUUGAAUCAAAUUAUCCAUUGGAGCAAUAAGAACAGGAUGACGAGAGAACAGAGUCACAUUAUGACUUCUGUGGAUGCCGGAAACUGACUUCAUGAGGACUUUUCUCCAUUAAAAAAAUCGUAUUUUACAACUGCAUUGGUGUAAAGAUGGAUUAUAUUAUUCAGGCUGGAUUUAUUAUUACAUAGUCAUUAUUAUCAGAUUUCUUUUUCUUCUAAUUUUAAAAGAAAUAAAACGUUAUCAUGGGCCCUAGGCCCUGUGCCUGACGGAUUAGGUGCCCAUCUGUGUUUUGAAAGCUAAGGGCAAAGAAUGCAAUUCUAGAGGCAAAGUCUUCAUUGAGAAUUGGCCAGGACUUUUUACUUUUGCUCUCUACAUCGAGAGCUUGCUACAGUCCAAGCAUUCUGCUUACAUGUAUUAUCUCAAGUAAUUAUCACGUCAAUCUCUGUGUAAUUACUAUUGUUAUUCUUCAUUUUGUAGAAAAGAUGAACAAGUGUGCUCAAAGUCAUACAGUGAGUAAAUGGUGGAACUGGGGUUGCAUUCAUUGCACACAUUUUUCUUGAGUGUCUGCUGUGUGCCAGGCGCUGUCCUGACACCAGGGAAACAGCAGUGAGCAAAACAGAGUCCCUGCUCUCAUGGAGCCUCAUUCACCUUUGUCUGAUUUCAAAGCCUGUGCUCUUAACUCUGAUUCUACAAGU